AUUGAACGCUGGCGGCAGGCCUAACACAUGCAAGUCGAACGAGUGGCGGACGGGUGAGUAAUGUCUGGGAAACUGCCUGAUGGAGGGGGAUAACUACUGGAAACGGUAGCUAAUACCGCAUACCAUCAGAUGCGCCCAGAUGGGCUUAGCUGGUUGGUGGGGUAACGGGUCACCAAGGCGACGAUCCCUAGCUGGUCUGAGAGGAUGACCAACCCCACUGGAACUGAGACACGGACCAGACUCCGACACGACACACCGUUGUCAAAUAUUGCACAGUGGGCGCAAGCCUGAGACAGCCAUGCCGCGUGUAUGAAGAAGUCCUUCGGGUUAUAAAGUACUUUCAGCGGGGAGGCGUUACCCGCAGAAGAAGCACCGGCUAACUCCGUGCCAGCAGCCGCGGUAAUUC
rnacentral:rRNA from 1 species